rnacentral:rRNA from 1 species
UACGUAGGGGGCGAGCGUUGUCCGGAAUUAUUGGGCGUAAAGAGCGUGUAGGCGGUUCGGUAAGUCUGCCGUGAAAACCUGAGGCUCAACCUCGGGCGUGCGGUGGAUACUGCCGGGCUAGAGGACGGUAGAGGCGAGUGGAAUUCCCGGUGUAGCGGUGAAAUGCGCAGAUAUCGGGAGGAACACCUAUGGCGAAGGCAGCUCGCUGGGACGUUACUGACGCUGAGACGCGAAAGCGUGGGGAGCAAACAGG